AGCACAGACUAAUCGAAUUAUUGCGUGCCUUGAGUUCUCAUUCAAAAAGUAUAGAGUUCUAAUAUUAAAUUUAAGUAAAAGUUGAGAGGUUGAGAAGUAAAUGAUUGUUAAGCGAAAAAAUGAACGUUUUAAAGCAGCCUUCAUUAAAUACGUGUGAACAAGGAGACAUCAGCUAUGCGAAAUUGGAUCCCUCAGUCAAAAGUUGAGGGAAUUUCCUUCUAGGAGAUCAAGUUCCAGUCGUCGCCGCGCGUUCCUUUAUCAGAGGUGCAACAGUUAUAUUUCUGUUCAACGUGUGCUUGCUAUGUUUCGGCUUUCUAAUUUACAAGUAUGUAAGAACUCUAGAAGAUAAGAAGAGGGUUGAAAUAGGUAAUUGGAUUUGUAGCCUGACUGGUGUUGUCAUCAUGAUCGUAAUGCACGGACUGGGGGAUGCGUCACGGAACAAUCCCCGCUUUUACUACAUUUAGAUUCAUUAUUUUCUUUACAAAUUUAUGUACUUAAAUAUCUAUCUGGCAUGACUCUUAGCUAAUCAAAAUUAAUUUAAGUUUUAAAA